rfam:Candidate division TA06 bacterium DG_26 WOR1_52_54_10551, whole genome shotgun sequence.
AACCAAGCUACUAAGGGUGCAUGGUGGAUGCCUUGGCACCAGAAGGUGAUGAAGGGCGUGGUAAGCUGCGAUAAGCUCCGGGUAGGCGCACACAACCCGUGACCCGGAGAUGCCCGAAUGGGGAAACCUAUCCCGAUUCGUCGGGAUAUCCCGAAAGGGAUGCGAACCCAGGGAAUUGAAACAUCUCAGUACCUGGAGGAAGAGAAAAUCCGCAAGGAUGAUUCCCUGAGUAGCGGCGAGCGAAAGGGGAACAGCCCAAACUGACUUGUGUGUGAAAGCCCGCAUGCUUUGCACAAGUGGGGUUGUAGGACUUGGCCGUAAUCCAGUGCGGAUGGGUUGGAAGAGUCACAAAACCGAACUCUAGCUGAAUGGUCCUGGAAAGGCCAACCACAGAGGGUGAUAGUCCUGUAAGCGAAAGGGACCGGUCUCUUCUGGCUAAGUUCCUGAGUACCACGGGACACCCUAACCCUGUGGGAACCCGUGUCGUCCACGGCACAAGGCUAAAUACUCUCUGGUGACCGAUAGUGCACUAGUACCGUGAGGGAAAGGUGAAAAGAACCCCGGGAGGGGAGUGAAAUAGAACCUGAAACCAUGCACUUACAAGCAGUAGGAGACUCCUUUUGGGAACUUAUAUUUCCAUCUCUGGUGGAGAUAUCCCGAAAGGGUUGACUGCGUGCCUUUUGCAGAAUGAGCCGGCGAGUUACUCAGUGUAGCGAGGUUAAUUCCGUUUGCACGGAAGGAGCCGUAGCGAAAGCAAGUCCUAACAGGGCGUGUCCCCGUAAGGGGACGGAGUUGUACUGAGUAGACCCGAAACCGAGUGAUCUACCCAUGGCCAGGAUGAAAUUUCGGUAACACGAAAUGAAGGUCCGAACCGGUGGACGUUGAAAAGUCUUCGGAUGAGCUGUGGGUGGGAGUGAAAGGCUAAUCAAACUCGGCGAUAGCUGGUUCUCCCCGAAAUAGCUCUAGGGUUAGCCUCGGAAGUUUGGUAACGGAGGUAGAGCACUGGAUGGACUAGGGGGGAAACCUACCAACUCCAACCAAACUCCGAAUGCCGUUGCCUGAAUUCCGGGAGUGAGGUUGUGGGGGAUAACCCCCAUUGCCAAAAGGGGAACAACCCAGAUCACCAGCUAAGGUUCCUGAAUACGAGCUAAGUGGGAAAGGAUGUGGAACUGCUCAGACAGCCAGGAUGUUGGCUUAGAAGCAGCCACCAUUCAAAGAGUGCGUAACAGCUCACUGGUCGAGCGGUUUUGCGCCGAAAAUGUAACGGAGCUCAAGCUCGUUACCGAAGCUGUGAAUUUUGGUCAGGCCAAGCGGCAGAGGCGCAUGGCUUUGCUAUGUGCCGGAUGCCACUUCGCUAUUGGCCGGAAUGGUAGGGGAGCGUUCCAUUGGGGCUGAAGUCAGGACGCGAGUCCUGAUGGACCUUAUGGAAGUGAUAAUGCACGGCAUGAGUAGCGAUAAUGCCGAUGAGAAAUCGGCACACCGAAAACCCAAGGUUUCCUGAGGAAGGUUAAUCCGCUCAGGGUUAGUCGGCCCCUAAGCUGAGGCUGAAAGGCGUAGGCGAUGGGAAUCCCGUCAACAUUCGGGAACCACCAAGGAACUGUUUGAGCUAUGGGGUGACGCAGGAGGGCGGGCCAGUCCCGUGAUGGAAUACGGGAUCUAAGCCGGUAGGAGGGAGAUUUAGGCAAAUCCGGUCUCCGUUAACUCCGAGAGGCGAUGGGGAGUCCUUUUUGGACAGAACUGGCCGUAACCACGCUGCCUAGAAAACCCUCUAUGCGAGGCUCCUUGGUGACCGUACCGUAAACCGACACAGGUGGGUGAGGAGAGAAUCCAAAGGUGCUCGGGUGAACCCUCGUUAAGGAACUCGGCAAGUUCACCCCGUAACUUCGGGAGAAGGGGUGCCCCUGGUAGGUGAUGCUCUCCGCGAGCAAGGCUGAAGGGGGUCGCAGUGAAAUGGCCUGGGCGACUGUUUACUAAAAACACAGGUCUCUGCUAAACCGUAAGGUGAAGUAUAGGGACUGACACCUGCCCGGUGCUGGAAGGUUAAGGGGAAGGGUCAUCCUCGAAUUCUCGGGGAGAAGCUCUGAACCGAAGCCCUGGUAAACGGCGGCCGUAACUAUAACGGUCCUAAGGUAGCGAAAUUCCUUGUCGGGUAAGUUCCGACCUGCAC